UUGCAUGCAUUCGGUUGACCCAGCGUUCCGUUGACUUUUGAUAUUGACUCUUGACUGUAGUCUUGAAUGAAGCGACCUCGCGGUGUGCCCACACUCACUCUCUUUUUGACUGACACUGCUCUGAUCUGCCUCCUACAGUCUUGAAAAGAGGAUCAAUAAGAAGGUCAUGGCGAUGUUUGAGAAAGCGGAAGAUGAAUACAACGACCUCAUAUCCAAGAAGAACAUCAUCGAGGCCGGUUCCCUUUGGCAACAGCUCUCUGAUUUUCCUGCACCAGAAGAAAACCCAUCGGCUUCCUGUUCUUGGCUGAUAACGAUGGCUGGUCCUUGCAGAACGAUAAGUCAAAGAUCAAGAUGGUGAUUGAGGAGCUCGACGAGAAGAAGAGGGAGACCCUGAAGGUCACCUGGGUCAAAGUGAACAAGUGGGUGCUCCUCCCCGUGUUCCUGAAUCUCUUCUCCAUCUUGCAGCGGGAUUCAGCUGGGUUCAUCCUAAAAGAAUCCUCCAUUUGCAGAGAUUUUGGGUCGAUAUUCUCCACUCUUCUGCCGGGCGC
rnacentral:lncRNA from 1 species